UGGCUCAGGAUGAACGCUGGCGGCGUGCUUAACACAUGCAAGUCGAACGAUGAUCCCAGCUUGUUGGGGGAUUAGUGGCGAACGGGUGAGUAACACGUGAGUAACCUGCCCUUAACUCUGGGAUAAGCCUGGGAAACUGGGUCUAAUACCGGAUAUGACUCCUCAUCGCAUGGUGGGGGGUGGAAAGCUUUAUUGUGGUUUUGGAUGGACUCGCGGCCUAUCAGCUUGUUGGUGAGGUAAUGGCUCACCAAGGCGACGACGGGUAGCCGGCCUGAGAGGGUGACCGGCCACACUGGGACUGAGACACGGCCCAGACUCCUACGGGAGGCAGCAGUGGGGAAUAUUGCACAAUGGGCGCAAGCCUGAUGCAGCGACGCCGCGUGAGGGAUGACGGCCUUCGGGUUGUAAACCUCUUUCAGUAGGGAAGAAGCGAAAGUGACGGUACCUGCAGAAGAAGCGCCGGCUAACUAC
rnacentral:rRNA from 1 species